CAGACACUACACAUUCGUACUAAUGUUGUAAACUGAUUGAUAGGUAGGGCAUUGUUUUAGCGUAUUGUACCAUUGAUUGAUCUUGCUCUAUGUUCCUUAAUUAGGUAUUACAGGAGGAGCAGGGUUAGGAGCAGGAGGACUGGAAGGGGCAGGAAUAGCAGGAGGAGUUGGGGGUGAAGGGUAUGCGGAUGGUGUGAAACCACCAACAUAUGGAGGCGUCACUGGAGUAGGCCUUGACAUGCCAGGAGCUACUCCAGGUACACCUGUCGGUGGUGGUCCAGACGGUUCUGCUGUUGUGGUGCCAGCAAGGAAUGCAGGUACUGCUGGAACUCCUCCACCAGGUACAGUGAAAUGCCAAAACAGACAUUUACUUUACACAUAUUUACACAUGUAUGUUUUUGCAGUAGCUGUAAAAGCAUAUGGGAGGAACAGGAAGAAGCGCCUUUUUCACUUACAGUAUAAUUGGUAAUUGCACUCAGUACUGUGCCAUAAUGUGUCACCGCUACAUUUCUUUCAUCCAUUUCCUGCCAACACAUGUUGUUUGUAUUGCUAGUGCUACCAGCUAUUGACCACCUCUAGCUUACAGCCUCCCAGCUGUGGCAGUAUCAUAGUUCACCUCACAGCUUCUGCCUUUUGUAGUCUCUCCAACUCUGCGCCUGUUGAAAGCACAAUGGAUGAAACUGUAACAUGUUGUCUUUUGGCAGAGCCCACGCCUACUGCCGCAAUUGGCGAGACCACAGAGGUCCCACGGCCCAGUAAGACUUGCUGUUUGCAUGAAACUUAUUUGCCACUCUGAUGUAGUAUGGGACAAUCCUCUCAGUAUUUGUGAAUGAGAAUGUUUCUCCCGAAAAAGACACUUAAAAAAAUUGUUUUGCAGGUCAAUGUUUUAUCAAGCAUCCAGAUUUACCAUCCGAAUAAUUACAAUCGGUUAUUCACAAAAGUGUAUCCCUGCCACCUGUUUAGUUAAUUCUUUAUUGGUUUCCCAGGAGUCUCCACUGCUGUAUUUUGAUUUACAUGUAUUUAUUAAACAAUAU
rnacentral:lncRNA from 1 species